UACCCCGUACAAUGCCCAGCCGCGGUCCGUUUUUACGCGGUUAUAUUUCGCGGACUCGUGCGCGGCCAAUUACGCGAGUCACGGUGUGAAAAAAGGCGAACUCGCGAUAUCGCGACGACUGACCUACUUUGGCGGCCGGCUCGUUUCCAGCGGGUUACCCGAGCCUCGGCUCGCGCCAGCAGCCGCGACCGCCGAACGACCGAGGGAGCCGGAGGUUGCAGCCCGAGGAUCACGGCGUAAGUCGGCGCGCGGCCACGAGGACGGCCCAGCGGCGAGGACGCGAGCCGAGCCGCGGUCUCGUCCCGUGGAGCGGCCAGUGCCGUAACCUCCGAGGGCCGGCGGCGCCCCGAGGCGGGAAUAGGCGCGCCAGACAAAGAGAUCGGCGUUCGGGGAGGGAAAAUCGUCCGGGCGCGGCAUCCCCGGGCCGGCGCGCUCCUCCGACCGGGGAAUUUCGGCGAAUCGCGCCGCGGCGCGACCUCCGACCGAGGAAAUCGGGCCGAUCGAGCGGCGCGUUUUCCCUUUCGUUGACCGUGCCUCGGCCGCACGGGCCUCGCGCAGCGCCAUCUUGUUCUCUCCCUCGCUCGGCCGCGCCGCCCCGUCGCGCGCUCUCCCUCGCACUCGCGGCCGAGAGCCCUCCUCGGGAGAAUCCAGGAGAAUCAAUGGCCGAUGCCGUCGAACGAGCCCGAGGCGUCGAAAGAUAGGCAAGCCUUAUCGCUCGUCGCGAGAGGUCCCGCCGAACGAUGCGCCCGGAGACGCGAGGCCGGAGAGGUAACCCACCGAGACUCGGACUCGCCGGACCGUCGAGCGAUUGACCCCCUCGCCAGCCUCAACGAGAAGGAAGGUUAGUCCCGCAGGUACCACGAGGGCGCCCCUGGGACCCGCCGGGUUCGGCCCUGGCCGGCUGUCAGCCGGCGGCUCGGCCGACGAGGAGGACGAGGAGGUCGCUUGACUAAGGGAGUGCCCGUGCCGAUGCUAAGUGCCCCGCUGACGCGCACAUCCGCCAGGGACCGCGGCCGAGGAUGCGCCCGUCGCGGCGGGCUUAGCUGCGGGGUGCGGACCCCAGGAGGACUCGCCUCGGAGGCGGCGUCGCGGCUCGCAGGCGUCCGGGCGGCGUCCGAGCGGCCGCCCGGUGGCCCCCUCUCCCAGGAGGCGGCGGCGGCGGCGGCCACAACGACGACGACGGCGACGACGACGACGGCGACGGCGUCGCGCACCGAGCGCGCCGCCGCGACCGGGGCCCGUGGACCCCACGGGAACUCCAGGACUCGCCGGUUUUAGGAAGAGGAGCGGCCGAAUGGCCGGGGCCGACUCCGCGGCCGAGGCCGAGCAGCGGCUGCGCCCCCAGCCUCUGAUGCCCCUGCCGAGCGCCGGCCCCGACACCCCCGCCAGCCUGGACGGCGGCGCCGUCUCCUCCGAGAGCCCAGGUAACCACCACCGGGGGGAAGAGGCGCGCCUUCGGGGAAGCAGUGGUUCUCCUUCGCCGC